AACAGGAUUAGACACCCUGGUAGUCCACGCUGUAAACGAUGUCGACUUGGAGGUUGUGCCCUUGAGGCGUGGCUUCCGGAGCUAACGCGUUAAGUCGACCGCCUGGGGAGUACGGCCGCAAGGUUAAAACUCAAAUGAAUUGACGGGGGCCCGCACAAGCGGUGGAGCAUGUGGUUUAAUUCGAUGCAACGCGAAGAACCUUACCUACUCUUGACAUCCAGAGAAUUUGCUAGAGAUAGCUUAGUGCCUUCGGGAACUCUGAGACAGGUGCUGCAUGGCUGUCGUCAGCUCGUGUUGUGAAAUGUUGGGUUAAGUCCCGCAACGAGCGCAACCCUUAUCCUUUGUUGCCAGCACGUAAUGGUGGGAACUCAAAGGAGACUGCCGGUGAUAAACCGGAGGAAGGUGGGGAUGACGUCAAGUCAUCAUGGCCCUUACGAGUAGGGCUACACACGUGCUACAAUGGCAUAUACAAAGAGAAGCGAACUCGCGAGAGCAAGCGGACCUCAUAAAGUAUGUCGUAGUCCGGAUUGGGGUCUGCAACUCGACUCCAUGAAGUCGGAAUCGCUAGUAAUCGUAGAUCAGAAUGCUACGGUGAAUACGUUCCCGGGCCUUGUACACACCGCCCGUCACACCAUGGGAGUGGGUUGCAAAAGAAGUAGGUAGCUUAACCUUCGGGAGGGCGCUUACCACUUUGUGAUUCAUGACUGGGGUGAAGUCGUAACAAGGUAACC
rnacentral:rRNA from 1 species